AACGUAGGAGGCGAGCGUUAUCCGGAUUCACUGGGCGUAAAGCGCGUGUAGGUGGCUCGUCACGUCGGAUGUGAAAGCCCCUGGCUCAACUGGGGGAGGUCAUCCGAAACUGACGGACUUGAGGGCAAGAGAGGAGAGUGGAAUUCCCGGUGUAGCGGUGGAAUGCGUAGAGAUCGGGAGGAACACCAGUGGCGAAGGCGGCUCUCUGGCUUGCAUCUGACACUGAGACGCGAAAGCGUGGGUAGCAAACGGG
rnacentral:rRNA from 1 species